rnacentral:rRNA from 1 species
AUUAAACGCUGGCGGCAGGCUUAACACAUGCAAGUCGAGCGGGGUGAUGGUGCUUGCACUAUCACUUAGCGGCGGACGGGUGAGUAAUGCUUAGGAAUCUGCCUAUUAGUGGGGGACAACAUCUCGAAAGGGAUGCUAAUACCGCAUACGUCCUACGGGAGAAAGCAGGGGAUCACUUGUGACCUUGCGCUAAUAGAUGAGCCUAAGUCGGAUUAGCUAGUUGGUGGGGUAAAGGCCUACCAAGGCGACGAUCUGUAGCGGGUCUGAGAGGAGGAUCCGCCACACCGGGACUGAGACACGGCCCAGACUCCUACGGGAGGCAGCAGUGGGGAAUAUUGGACAAUGGGGGGAACCCUGAUCCAGCCAUGCCGCGUGUGUGAAGAAGGCCUUAUGGUUGUAAAGCACGUUAAGCGAGGAGGAGGCUCUUUUGGUUAAUACCCAAGAUGAGUGGACGUUACUCGCAGAAUAAGCACCGGCUAACUCUGUGCCAGCAGCCGCGGUAA